rnacentral:rRNA from 1 species
UACGAAGGGGGCUAGCGUUGCUCGGAAUCACUGGGCGUAAAGCGCACGUAGGCGGAUCUUUAAGUCAGGGGUGAAAUCCUGGAGCUCAACUCCAGAACUGCCUUUGAUACUGGGGAUCUCGAGUCCGGAAGAGGUGAGUGGAACUCCGAGUGUAGAGGUGAAAUUCGUAGAUAUUCGGCGGAACACCAGUGGCGAAGGCGACUCACUGGCCCGAUACUGACGCUGAGGCGCGAAAGCGUGGGGAGCAAACAGG